rnacentral:snRNA from 1 species
AGACCUGGGUGGCUUGGGGCUGUCACCCCCUUGACUACCAGGGUUGACUUAGUUUACCUUGGUGGACAGAUGGGUAUCCCUUCCUCUCUCACCAGUCAGCAAAUGUCCCUCUCUUCCUGAAUGCUCCACGGAAGAGGAUCCCCCACUUCCGACAGAGGAGAACCAUUCUCUGAUCAAGGUUAUACAAGUGGCUGUAAAUGAACGGUGUGGUGGUGAAAGGAAAAUGUGUUCCAGGGACUGACCUUCCCCGAGGUCGGCCCAUUUCUGGUUGGUCCACCACAGCAAAGCCGGCCCCAGCUCCAUUCUGGAGAAAAGCCACGUGGGGAUUUUGCUUUUUGG